rnacentral:rRNA from 1 species
UACGUAGGGCGCAAGCGUUAUCCGGAAUUAUUGGGCGUAGAGAGCUCGUAGGCGGUUUGUCGCGUCUGCCGUGAAAGUCCGGGGCUCAACUCCGGAUCUGCGGUGGGUACGGGCUAGACUAGAGUGAUGUAGGGGAGACUGGAAUUCCUGGUGUAGCGGUGAGAUGCGCAGAUAUCAGGAGGAACACCGAUGGCGAAGGCAGGUCUCUGGGCAUUAACUGACGCUGAGGAGCGAAAGCAUGGGGAGCGAACAGG